rnacentral:rRNA from 1 species
AUUGAACGCUAGCGGGAUGCUUUACACAUGCAAGUCGAACGAGCGGCGGACGGGGGAGCAAUGUAUGGGGACUGCCCGAUAGAGGGGGAUAACUACUGGAAACGGUAGCUAAUACCGCAUACUAUCGGAUAACCCAUAUGGGAUUAGCUAGUAGGUGGGGUAAUGGCUCACCUAGGCGACGAUCCCUAGCUGGUCUGAGAGGAUGAUCAGCCACACUGGGACUUAGACACGGCCCAGACUCCUACGGAGGCAGCAGUGGGGAAUAUUGCGCAAUGGGCGCAAGCCUGAUGCAGCCAUGCCGCGUGUAUGAAGAAGGCCCUAGGGUUGUAAAGUACUUUCAGUCGGGAGGCGUUACCGACAGAAGAAGCACCGGCUAACUCCGUGCCAGCAGCCGCGGUAAUUC